rnacentral:rRNA from 1 species
GACGAACGCUGGCGGCGUGCUUAAUACAUGCAAGUCGAACGGAAAGGCCCUGCUUGCAGGGUACUCGAGUGGCGAACGGGUGAGUAACACGUGGGUGAUCUGCCCUGCACUUCGGGAUAAGCUUGGGAAACUGGGUCUAAUACCGGAUAGGACCGCACUUUAGUGUGUGUGGUGGAAAGUUUUUUCGGUGUAGGAUGAGCUCGCGGCCUAUCAGCUUGUUGGUGGGGUAAUGGCCUACCAAGGCGGCGACGGGUAGCCGGCCUGAGAGGGUGUACGGCCACAUUGGGACUGAGAUACGGCCCAGACUCCUACGGGAGGCAGCAGUGGGGAAUAUUGCACAAUGGGCGCAAGCCUGAUGCAGCGACGCCGCGUGGGGGAUGAAGGCCUUCGGGUUGUAAACUCCUUUCGCUAGGGACGAAGCUUUUUGUGACGGUACCUAGAUAAGAAGCACCGGCUAACUACGUG